ACAUGAUAGUUUUAGCAUGAUUUGAUCUGAUCGAUCAAAAUUUGUUGAAUCAUAUUGUCUGAAGAAUUCAAGAUGAGUUUUCUCUCUCUAGAAUUUUCUCUCUCUAAAAUAUUCUUUCUCUUGAUUGAUUCUCUCUCUAAAAAAAAAGGUUAGUGAAUGAAGAAAUUUCUUUUAAUAAAUCUGAUCUGAUUUUAAUGAAGAAUCCUGAUCUAUGAUUGUCAGACAGCGUACUGGCACCUACCUUAAUCAAACCAUGAAUCUUUAGAUUUGAUCAUCCAUGAUCCCGAUCUAGCCAUGACUUGAUUUGAUCAUGUUGAUUUCACCAAUUGAGAUAUUGGACCAAUCGUAAUGUUGAAUUGUGUCACCUGAUCAGUUCGAAUUAUACCUCAUGAAUUUUCUCUCCUCUGAUUUUCUCUCUCUACUUGAUUUUAUAAAAUCGAUGAAGAAACCUCAGUCCUAUCACUUCGAAUCCGAUUUGAUCUGAUAGUCAAACUUUGGAUCGUUUAGGUCCUAAUUAGAUUUUGAUUAGAUGAAAUUAGAUGAUCAGACUCAAUCUAAACCGUUGAAAUAUGGUAUUUGUAUUCUUUCUAAUUAUUGAAAUUGAUUCUGUAUAGUAUUGUGGAUGUUUGAUCAUGGGAUAUCGCGAUAUGAUCUACGAAUAGAAUUUUUGAAA
rnacentral:lncRNA from 1 species